GAUCAUGGCUCAUGAUGAACGCUGGCGGCGUGCCUAACACAUGCAAGUCGAGCGAUCUCUCGGAAGAGAGCGGCGGACGGGUGAGUAACGCGUGGGUAACCUGCCCUGUACACACGGAUAACAUACCGAAAGGUAUGCUAAUACGAGAUAAUAUGCUUUUAUCGCAUGGUAUAAGUAUCAAAGCUCCGGCGGUACAGGAUGGACCCGCGUCUGAUUAGCUAGUUGGUGAGGUAACGGCUCACCAAGGCGACGAUCAGUAGCCGACCUGAGAGGGUGAUCGGCCACAUUGGAACUGAGACACGGUCCAAACUCCUACGGGAGGCAGCAGUGGGGAAUAUUGCACAAUGGGCGAAAGCCUGACGCAAGCAACGCCGCGUGAGCGAUGAAGGCCUUCGGGUCGUAAAGCUCUGUCCUCAAGGAAGAUAAUGACGGUACUUGAGGAGGAAGCCCCGGCUAACUACGUGCCAGCCGCUGC
rnacentral:rRNA from 1 species